rnacentral:rRNA from 1 species
UACGUAGGGUGCGAGCGUUAAUCGGAAUUACUGGGCGUAAAGCGUGCGCAGGCGGUUCGUUAAGUCAGCUGUGAAAGCCCCGGGCUUAACCUGGGAAUGGCGGUUGAAACUGGGCGAACUUGAAUCUGGCAGAGGGGGGGUGGAAUUCCACGUGUAGCAGGUGAAAUGCGUAGAGAUGUGGAGGAACACCGAUGGCGAAGGCAGCCCCCCUGGGAUGACACUGACGCCUCAUGCACGAAAGCGUGGGGAGCAAACAGG